rnacentral:lncRNA from 1 species
GUCCUGGGGUCCGCCCUUCCCCGCCCCGUCCCCGCCUCCCACCCAGCCCCCUCCUCCUCAGGUGAGGCCGCAGGCUCGGCAGGCCCCACGCUGCUGGCUGCUGCUGCCACCCUUGCCUUCCGGGCUGCCCGCUGCUGUGGGGACAGACACCAUGCCCCUGCCCAGGCCCGGAGACUAACCCCAAACCUGCACCAUCUCCGGCGAACCCGAGGGUUCCGCCCCAGCCCAACAGGUCAACCUGGGAAUCAUUAACAAGAGUCCCUGACAUGGCGAAGGAGGAUGAGGAACCUGGGGCUCACAGAGGAGGUUCCACUUGUUCAAGACCCCAACCUGGAAAGGGUAAGGCUGCUAUUUUAUAUUUUAUUCUUUUUUUGUAUAUUUUUAAUUUUCUAUAUGUGUGUGUACAUGUGCCCAUGUGUAUGAGUAUGUGUAUGUGUGUGCAUGUGGGGGGUGUACACAUGUGUGUACGAGAAUGUGUAUAUAUGUGUGCAUGCACAUGCGUGUGAGCAUAUGUGUGUGUAUAUACAUGGGAUGUGCAUGUUCACAUGUGUGAAUGUGUAUGGAUGUGGGUGAGUUUGUGCAUGCACAUGUAUGCGUAUGAAUACAUGCAUGUGCCUGUGUGGAUACCGGUGUACACAUUGGAGACGGCAUGAAGAAUCUUGUGUGUCCUGCCCUAUCACUCUCUGUGUAUUUCCCGUGAUCUGGGGUCUCUCACUGAGCCUGCAGCUAGGCUGAUGGCCAGGGAGCCCCAACGACCCUCCUGUCUGUCCACCCCAACAGUGCAGGGCUUACAGACCUGCUCCACCACACCUGACCUUUUACACAGUGCUGGGAACCUAUCUCUGAAUCCCACACUUGCCCAGCAAGUGCUCUUACCCAUGGAGCCAUCUCUCCAAGGUCACUAUUUCAGAGUGGGGUUGCCCUGCAUAGUGCAAUGCCUGGCAUUGUAGCACUUAGGAAGCAGAGGCUAGCCUGAGUAUCAUAGGGAGACCUUGUCUAAGCUAGUGGUGGUGCAUGCCUUUAAUCCCAGCACUCCAGAGGCAGGGGCCAUUGGAUUUCUGAGUUGGAGGCCAGCCUGGUCUACAGAGAGAGUUCCAAGACAGCCAGGGCUACACAGAGAAACCCUGUUUUGAAAAACCAAAACCAAACCAGACCAAAAUACAGGCAGAUAUGGUGACACGUGACUGCCAUCCCAGCACUAAGGGAGGCAGGCAGGCAAACUCUCACUAGUUCGAGGCUAGCUUGUACAUUAUGGUAUGUUUGAUGCCAGCACUGUUAGGUAGUAAGACCUCUCAAAAUACAAACCAACCCCCCCCCCAAAAAAAAUCAAACCAAAAAAAACUUGGGUUCUCAAACUCCCAGAUACAAAUUUGAUCUUGGAACUUGUGAGAAAGAGAAUCAGGUCUUGGGGUUACCAAGAGGGUAAAGAUCAGAGGUCACAGGCACCUUAAAGUUGUAAGAACUUCUGGAAAGGUUAUCAGAAGAGAGGAUCUGGGGACAGGCUGG